UUGGGUAUUCUUUGUCUUUGUGUUAUAACUCUGCAUCAUUCAAUUUUUUCGGUGAAAGAUGUUUUUUUUAGGGUUCCGCUUCUUCGCCCUAGUUCUGGUGCUGGUCUUGCUUUUAGCAAGAGAAACUCUAUCUUCCAGUGUCAAUUAUCCAUCCUCUAUGGUCAUGUGGCAAAAUUUACCGGUAGAGACCGUUGUUGCAUCAUAUCUGCAAAUAGCUGUCACAAUAAAUUCUACAGCAGGUAAUUAUUAGUCGAACUUGUCUCUCUUCUUCUUUUUAAAUCUAGUAUAUGCUUUCUUUUAUUUUGUAUAUAU